UCGAAACAAAGUAGACAGACCGGAAGGUAUUUCUAGG
rnacentral:rRNA from 1 species